rnacentral:rRNA from 1 species
UACAGAGACCUCAAACGUUAUCCGGAUUUAUUGGGCGUAAAGCGUCCGCAGGUGGUUUAUCAAGUUAGUGGUUAAAUCCCGAGGCUUAACUUCGGACCUGCCAUUAAGACUGAUAGACUAGAGGCUGGAAGAGGCAAGCGGAACUGCCGGUGUAGUCGUAAUAAGCGCUGAUAUCGGCAGGAACACCAAAGGCGAAGGCAGCUUGCUAGUACAUGCCUGACACUCAUGGACCAAAGCGUGGGGAGCGAAUAGGAUUAGAAACCCCAGUAGU